rnacentral:rRNA from 1 species
GAUGAACGCUGGCGGCGUGCCUAAUACAUGCAAGUCGAGCGAACAGACGAGGAGCUUGCUCCUCUGACGUUAGCGGCGGACGGGUGAGUAACACGUGGAUAACCUACCUAUAAGACUGGGAUAACUUCGGGAAACCGGAGCUAAUACCGGAUAAUAUAUUGAACCGCAUGGUUCAAUAGUGAAAGACGGUUUUGCUGUCACUUAUAGAUGGAUCCGCGCCGCAUUAGCUAGUUGGUAAGGUAACGGCUUACCAAGGCAACGAUGCGUAGCCGACCUGAGAGGGUGAUGGCCCACACUGGAACUGAGACACGGCCCAGACCCCUACGGGAGGCAGCAGGAGGGAAUUUCCCGAAAUGGGCGAAAGCUUGCAGGAGCAACGCCGGGGGAGUGAAGAAGGUCUUCGGACCUUAAAACCCUGUUAUUAGGGAAAAACAAAUGUGUAAGUAACUAUGCACGUUUUGACGGUACUUAAUCAGAAAGCCACGGCUAACUACGU